rnacentral:rRNA from 1 species
UAAACUUAAUAAUUUGACGGUAAUUUAUUUCAUAAAGGAAUAUGUAAUUUAAUCGAAUUUACACGAAUUAUUUCACUUAUAUUUAUCUUGUAUACCUCCGUUUAGAUUAUGUUUAUAGUUAAAUUUUCUAAAAAAUUACUAUUAAAAUUUCAGGUCAAGGUGCAGUAUAUAUAAGGUAUUAUGUAUUACAUUAAAUAAGUAGUUAUUGGAUUUACUUUGUAAAUGUUAGUGAAAGUGAAUUUAUAAGUAGGAAAGAUUAAAAUAUUUUUUUGAAAAUUUAAUAUUUAUGUACACAU